rnacentral:lncRNA from 1 species
UGUUUUAAUUAAAAUUUAACUUUUUUUUUUUUUUUCUAAGCAGAAAAGAAGGUUUCAGUAAAGAAAGUCUCCAAAAAGGUGGUUAAAAAGGGUCCUGAAGACAUCCAACCACCUAAAGUUCCUGAGGUUCUGCCAGAGAAGCCCAAAGAGGUCAAAAUAACAUCUAUGGCAAGGAGAGAAGAGAUUCAUGAAGAAAAAAUGGAAAUAUAUGAAAAGUCCAAAGAGCCUUAUGAAGAAUGGGAAGAAGAUUAUGGAGAAGAGCAUGAUUAUUAUUUCAGGGAAGAAGGUUAUGAUGAAGGGGAAGAAGAAUGGGAAGAAGCUUAUGAGAAAAGAGAAGUGGCUUAUGAAGAAACACGAGUCAUUCAUGAAGAAGUGGCUGAAGUUCCUAAGAAGCCUGUUCCUGAGCAGAAGCCUCCAGCAAUUACAGCAGAAAAGAAAGAAAAGAAAGAAGUAACAGUUCGUAAAGUUGUCAAGAAACCUGUUGAAGAAAAAGUUGAGAUUACCACUCAGAGGGUCGCAGAAGAAAAAGUCAAACAGGCUGAGGUACCGACAGUAGAAACAUGGACUGUUUCAGAAGAAAAGAUGUCGGUUUCUGUCCACAGAGAAGAAGAGUACUCAUAUGUCACAGAGCCAGCAGAGCAUGAGAAGACAGUUGAAGAAAGAUUCUUUGAAGCUGUUUACCCAAUUGAAGCACGUAAGGAAGUCAAAGAGGAGGAAGAAGAAGAAGAGGUCAUUUCUGCAGAACUGGAGAUCCCUCAUGAUGAAGUGCCUGAGAUACCAGAGAGGCAUGUAUCAGAAGAAAGAAAGCCUGUUCCUGUCCCAAAAGAAGUUCCACCAGCUAAAGUUCCUGAGGUACCUAAGAAACACGUUCCAGAAAAGAAAGUUGCUGUUACUAGAAAGGAAGUGGCUCCCCCAGCAAAAGGUACAGCAUCUUUUGAAAGUGGACUUUUACCAGUCCUGUACUAUUGUUCUAACUUCUAAAUAUAUGUAGACUUUGUGUGCUAUGUUAUAUGUCUGUUCUCACCUAAGACAAAUUCAAAAACACUGGAAAGAUUACUGAAACACAUUUUAAUAUCUUUAAAGUGCCUGAAGUGCCUAAAAAACCUGUUCCUGAAGAAAAAGUACACGUUCCUGUUCCUAGAGAAGAACUUCCACCUGCCAAAGGUAUACUUGGUGAUGGACUAUACAUGUACCUCUUAAAUAUCUGUUUCUGUU